CACGAAGGGGCUAUACUGUCUCCUCUCUCCAAUCAGUGAAACUGAUCUUCCCGUGAAGAAGCGGGAAUUUAACUAUAAGACGAGAAGACCCCAUGGAGCUUUAAACACGAUAUUAACCCCCCGCCCAAACACCAACUAAGCUACAAAGUCCUCAAUAUCUGCUUUAGGUUGGGGUGACCGCGGAGCAAAACGCAACCUCCACGACUAACGGGCCACGCCCUUAUCCACGAACUACAAUUCCAAGAAUCAACAAACUGACGUUUAUGACCCGACAACUCGAUCAACGAACCAAGUUACCCUGGGGAUAACAGCGCAAUCCACUUCAAGAGCCCCUAUCGACAAGUGGGUUUACGACCUCGAUGUUGGAUCAGGGUAUCCCAGUGGUGCAGCCGCUACUAAAGGUUUGUUUGUUCAACAAUUAAAACCCUACGUGAUCUGAGUUCAGA
rnacentral:rRNA from 1 species